rnacentral:lncRNA from 1 species
AUUUCCCCCAACAUCUCCAGUCAAACCUCUACCGAGCCCACCAAGGCAGAACUUGGAAAACUUCUCUGGAGACAAAGGGAAACUCUUUAAAUUGCCCAGUUCCUCCAAGAGGGCUUUGAAAAAACAAGAUUUCCUGCAGUCUCUGGUGAUAAUUUCUGUUCCUUCCAGCAUUGCACUUGUCUUGUAGUGUCUUUAUUCUUUAAAAUUUAGUGGCACUGCUCCGUUGUGGCAUCUUCCCUUAAUCAAAAAUAGUUUGGGCUUCAGGAAUUGAGAAAUAUUAAGAAAUAAAUUCACAUGAGAGGAGUUUUUAUUUUGGUUUGGGUUUUCUUUGUUUUGUCUCAGUGCAGAAUUAUCCCUGCAAAGGGAUUUUAAAGUAUUGGGAGGGAUGGAAGGUGAAAUCCUAGAAAUGAUCUGCACAAUAUGGCCUUGUUGAAAUUUAAUUCAUCUUUGGGGGACAAAUAAAAGGCACAAAUCAUUUAAUUGGAGAAGAUGGAUUGUGAUGGAGAAAUCAUUUAAUUUAAUAAUUUAAUUCUCUCAUCUUUUUGGAGAAGAUGAAACGUGUGUGUGGCCCUUGAUUCAGUUAAGAUUUUUGCAGAAAUUCAGAUUUUAGGUUCCAGUUCUAAAGGAGGAUAAUUCACAAAUUAAUACAUCUGGAUCUGAGGUGGUUUUACUUUUUAAAUUGCUGAUUUUGGAUUGAUCAGGGGGAUUUUUUCCAUUUCUUUUUAGUUAGGUGCUUCCAUUUCAGUGCUGAGGCUGCAGGUGGAAUUUAAUGUUCCACAGAAUUCCCUGUUCUUCUAAUUCCAAUUUUCUUUAAUUUCUAAUUGCUUCAAGAGCCUAAUUUAUCUUACAGUAUAAACCAUUCAUUUUCAGGAAAACUUACCAAGAGCAAAAGCUGAUGUGCCAGAAGAAAAGAAGGAAGACUCAGUGCAAAGGAGGGAAAUCAGCCAGGAAUAUGUGCAAGAAACAUGGAGAAAUAUCAUCCGGAUCCAUUUGCAGACCAUUCUGGGACUGCCCUCGCUGGAGGAGGUUCUGCAGCCAGCCCAGAUCAUCCCUGAGUUUGUCAUGUACAACAUGAACAACACCAGCAAACACGGGGUGGUGAUCCUGCAGGACAAAGCAGGUGAAGUUUAUUCCCCUGGAUUUGCUUCGAGAUUCUUUAGUUAUAAAUAACAAUU